rnacentral:rRNA from 1 species
CCUACGGGGAGCAGCAGUGAGGAAUAUUGGUCAAUGGACGCAAGUCUGAACCAGCCAUGCCGCGUGCAGGAAGACGGCUCUAUGAGUUGUAAACUGCUUUUGUACGAGGGUAAACGCAGAUACGCGUAUCUGUCUGAAAGUAUCGUACGAAUAAGGAUCGGCUAACUCCGUGCCAGCAGCCGCGGUAAUACGGAGGAUUCAAGCGUUAUCCGGAUUUAUUGGGUUUAAAGGGUGCGUAGGCGGUCGGAUAAGUUAGAGGUGAAAUCCCGAGGCUCAACUUCGGAAUUGCCUCUGAUACUGUUCGGCUAGAGAGUAGUUGCGGUAGGCGGAAUGUAUGGUGUAGCUGUGAAAUGCUUAGAGAUCAUACAGAACACCGAUUGCGAAGGCAGCUUACCAAGCUACUUCUGACGUUGAGGCACGAAAGCGUGGGGAGCAAACAGGAUUAGAUACCCUUGUAGUC